UUUCAAAGCCACAGCAGCAAUUAGGAUACCUAAAGUUUUCCUCACAGGUCAAAAUUAACACAUUCUUUGGGCUUUUAGAAAUGCACAUGAUUAAUUCUAAGUGCUGUGGUGACAACAGUCCAAGGUUAAUUGUAAGAUUGAGGUGACACAGACUUGAUCAGUGGCUAUUUGUAGUGGUAUAUAAGUGUCACCUCAAAGGUAAAAGAAAAAUAGUCUGUGCGGUCUAUAUGCUCUACUAUAUACAUAGAGCUGUGUGGCGGAGGUGUGGUCCCUGGCUCAGCUGCAGGGGAGGAGUGGUGCAGUGAGCUCAAGGGGGCGGUACCAAGAGGCAGGUGAGCCACAGGUGGUGGCGUUUGACUGAUGACUGUGUCUCUUUUUUAUGUUUCUCUAUAUAGUGAAGGCAGAGUCGAGCGGGGAAGAGAGAGAGCUGGACUGGAACGGACUGUUUUCCUUGAGUGCACAACUGUCAAUAAAAAGCAAUAAUAGUGAGCACAAUCACCGUGUGUGUCGUGUAUUUUUACAAGCUGUAAUUAUUGCCUCUGUGUUUGUAGCUGUAGUUGUUAUCAGCUGUACAGCUACAUAGCCUAAUUCUCCAAUAUAAAGUCCUUGGGGUGGGAAAUGUGUCGUCUUUUUGGGUAAUUCUAUGGUGAGGAGGGUAGUUCUUCCAAAUGUGCAGCUGAAAAUCAAUUGUAAGGUUAAAGUGUACUGUAUGCACACUAUUUUUUUUUUUUUUUUUUUUGUGCACUUUUGUCAAGGUUGCAAGUGCAGGACUCAUGCUGGGUAAAAGUCAAAAGGUGGUUUAUUUACAAACGUGACCAAAUGUGGAAUAUAUAUACAUAUAUACAGUGCAGGGUGGGAAACAGGGGAAGGUCCAAACUUCUCUUCACACAGCCAGUGAUUCACAACAAUCCACUCAGACUCAUGCUCAUCCACUCGAGGUCCAUGAAGAAGGCAAACAGGGAAGGGUCCAGGGAAGUCUGUGCACACGAAGAGAAGUUGACGUUAGCAAAGAGCACUGGGAAAACACAAGGAAAUAACAAGGCAAGCUGGAUUACACUGACAGAGGUUAGUACAAGGAUCCGGCAAAGAAUCACUAAGUAGCGCCGGAAUAAUCAUCAGCGAUGGAUGGCAGGUGAGUAGAUCUGCACAGAUGAGUACGGAGGUGGGGACCAGAGCCAGACUCGGCCCUGACGGUGAGGAGUGAAGGAAAACAACAACAAAACAACCCAGAAAAAAAAACUGGGACCAUGACAACUUAAAUUUAUGAAUGCAUAAAUUAGUAACAUCUUUUUUGCUGGGUCUUCAACUAACAGUCUUUACAUGAGAUUCUUUGAUUGAAGCCAGUGAAGAUUGAGGCACUGUAUUUCAUUUGUAAAUGUAUAAGGUUUAAGAGGGGAUAUUAAAAGCUCAUCUUGUUGUUAAUAAAAGAGAAAGUCUACAUGUUUUUGUUUUGCAUUUUGUGACUUGCAUUUGAAAUUCAAACAAACAGAAAAUGUCAAGGCAUUCCAUUUAGCAUGAGCCGCAGCAGGGAGCGUG
ensembl:lncRNA